AGAGCAUAGGGCGAAUGCCUUGGCACUAGGAGCCGAAGAAGGACGUGAUAAGCUGCGAUAAGCUACGGUAAGGCGCAAAUAGCCAAUAACCCGUAGAUUUCCGAAUGAGGGAACUCAAUUAUGGUAAUGCAUAAUUAUCCUAUGAUGAAUAUAUAGUCAUAGAGAAGGUAACCCGGAGAACUGAAACAUCUAAGUAACCGGAGGAAGAGAAAGAAAAAUCGAUUUUCAAAGUAGCGGCGAGCGAAAUGGAAAGAGCCCAAACCACAGAAGCUGUGGGGUUGUGGACCACCAAAACGAGAAUGAAGUAUAGCCAAAUUGUCUGGAAAGGCAAGACGAAGAGGGUGAAAUCCCCGUAGGCGAAAUGCUAAGUUUUCAGGGUGGCACCAGAGUAGGGCGGGACACGUGAAACCCUGUCUGAAGUAUGGGAGGACCACCUCCUAAGGCUAAAUACUACCUAGUGACCGAUAGAGAACAGUACCGUGAGGGAAAGGUGAAAAGAACCCCGAAAGGGGAGUGAAAUAGAAUCUGAAACCUUAUGCUUACAAGCAGAGGGAGCAAAGAGGGUAGCCUCUAAGUGACCUCGUACUUUUUGUAGAACGGGCCAACGAGUUAUGGUGUGUAGCAAGGUGAAGGCGUGAAGCGCAACAGCCGAAGUGAAAGCGAGCCUUAAUAGGGCGAGAAGUUGCAUGCUGUAGACCCGAAACCGGGUGAUCUAUCCAUGUGCAGGUUGAAGCGAGAGUAAAAUCUCGUGGAGGACCGAACCUGUAUCUGUUGAAAAAGGUUAGGAUGACGUGUGGAUAGGGGUGAAAUUCCAAUCGAACUCGGAGAUAGCUGGUUCUCCUCGAAAUAGCUUUAGGGCUAGCCUCAUGUUAGAGUACUGUUGGUAGAGCACUAAUUGGGCUAGGGGGCUUCACGGCUUACUGAACCUUAUUAAACUCCGAAUGACAGAUACUUGAUGCAUGGGAGUCAGACAGUGUGAGAUAAGUUUCAUUGUCAAAAGGGAAACAGCCCAGAUCUACAACUAAGGUCCCCAAGUGUAAGUUAAGUGGAAAACGAUGUGUCAAUGCUAAAACAACCAGGAUGUUGGCUUAGAAGCAGCCAUUCAUUCAAAGAGUGCGUAAUAGCUCACUGGUCGAGUGCGGAUGCGCGGAAAAUUUCCGGGGCUAAAACUUACCACCGAAGUUUAGGAAUGUAACUAGUUUACAUUGGUAGAGGAGCAAUGUAUACGGGCUGAAGCAGUAUCGAAAGAAGCUGUGGACUGUAUACAAGAGAGAAUGCCGGCAUAAGUAGCGAGAUGGAAGUGAGAAUCUUCCACGUCGAAUGCCUAAGGUUUCCUGGGGAAGGCUUGUCCUCCCAGGGUAAGUCAGGACCUAAGCUCAGGCCGAAAGGCGUAGGCGAUGGACAACAGGUAGAUAUUCCUGUACCACCAAGAGACGUUUAAAUGAGGCGAUUGACGCAGUAGGAUAGUUGAUCCGCGGAGUUGGAUUUCUGUGGCCAAAUCAUGAGGUUUGUGUGUAGUGAAGUACGCACACAGUUAAGACUAGGUGAUGAUGGGGAGUGAAAACUAGUAAUGAAGUCAAUGAAUUCACACUGACGAGAAAAUUCGCUAAAUAUGUUUCUAGGUGCCUGUACCGCAAACCGACACAGGUGGGCGAGGAGAAAAUCCUAAGACGGACGGGAUAACCAUUGUUAAGGAACUCUGCAAAAUGACCCCGUAACUUAGGGAGAAGGGGAGCCUACGCAAGUAGGCCGCAGUGAAGAGGCCCAAGCAACUGUUUACCAAAAACACAGGUCUCUGCUAAAUCGUAAGAUGAAGUAUAGGGGCUGACGCCUGCCCAGUGCUGGAAGGUUAAGGGGAUUUGUUAGCGCAAGCGAAGCAUUGAACUUAAGCCCCAGUGAACGGCGGCCGUAACUAUAACGGUCCUAAGGUAGCGAAAUUCCUUGUCAGGUAAGUUCUGACCCGCACGAAUGGCGUAAUGAUUUGGGCGCUGUCUCAACAGUGGACCCGGCGAAAUUGUAUUAUACGUGAAGAUGCGUAUUACCCGCGACUGGACGGAAAGACCCCGUAGAGCUUUACUGCAACUUGGUAUUGAAAUUCGGUAACUUAUGUACAGGAUAGGUGGGAGACUUGGAAGUAUAGGCGUCAGCUUAUAUGGAGUCACCCUUGGGAUACCACCCUUGAGUUAUUGACUUUCUAACAAGAUACCGUUAUCCGGAUUUUGGACAUUGCCAGGUGGGCAGUUUGACUGGGGCGGUCGCCUCCUAAAAUGUAACGGAGGCGUUCUAAGGUUCCCUCAGGAUGGUUGGAAACCAUCUUAAGAGCGCAAAGGUAGAAAGGGAGCUUAACUGUGAGACAGAUAUGUCGAACAGAUACGAAAGUAGGACUUAGUGACCCGGCGGUAGAGAAUGGAAUUGCCGUCGAUUAACAGAUAAAAGUUACCUCGGGGAUAACAGGCUGAUCUCCCCCAAGAGUUCACAUCGACGGGGAGGUUU
rnacentral:rRNA from 1 species